UACGGAGGGUGCAAGCGUUGUCCGGAAUCACUGGGCGUAAAGCGCACGUAGGCGGAUCGUUAAGUCGGGGGUGAAAUCCUGGAGCUCAACUCCAGAACUGCCUUCGAUACUGGCGAUCUUGAGUCCGGAAGAGGUGAGUGGAACUCCUAGUGUAGAGGUGGAAUUCGUAGAUAUUAGGAAGGACACCAGUGGCGAAGGCGGCUCACUGGUCCGGUACUGACGCUGAGGUGCGAAAGCG
rnacentral:rRNA from 1 species